GAUGAACGCUGGCGGCGUGCCUAAUACAUGCAAGUCGAGCGAACAGACGAGGAGCUUGCUCCUCUGACGUUAGCGGCGGACGGGUGAGUAACACGUGGAUAACCUACCUAUAAGACUGGGAUAACUUCGGGAAACCGGAGCUAUUACCGGAUAAUAUAUUGAACCGCAUGGUUCAAUAGUGAAAGACGGUUUUGCUGUCACUUAUAGAUGGAUCCGCGCCGCAUUAGCUAGUUGGUAAGGUAACGGCUUACCAAGGCGACGAUGCGUAGCCGACCUGAGAGGGUGAUCGGCCACACUGGAACUGAGACACGGUCCAGACUCCUACGGGAGGCAGCAGUAGGGAAUCUUCCGCAAUGGGCGAAAGCCUGACGGAGCAACGCCGCGUGAGUGAUGAAGGUCUUCGGAUCGUAAAACUCUGUUAUUAGGGAAGAACAAAUGUGUAAGUAACUAUGCACGUCUUGACGGUACCUAACCAGAAAGCCACGGCUAACUACGUG
rnacentral:rRNA from 1 species